AGAAAAACCGUGCAGCCGCACGUACGAGCGACGAGUCUUUACUCCUAAUGGAGCAGCAGAUCGGUCUCCGCCGCCAACCAGACCUUCGCACGCCCGAUCCAGCCCUACGCCCCCUCCGCGGCCGAUCCAUCCCUAUGUCGCGGCCGAUCCAUGCCCUAUGCCGCCGCCGAUGCCUCCUCCUCCACCUCCAUUUCCAAGCGACGGCGCUCGCGGCCGUGGUCUUCUCCCCCAGCCACCAUGGCUGCAGAUCCACUCACGGCCGGUUGUCUAAGCUGCAAGCAUGGAUGGAUGGAUCCAGGAAGGUAUCCUUCCUCCCUGGGUGGGGCGAGCUACACAUCCCAUUCGGCCCUCUGUAGCCGGCCAUCUCCGCCUCCUCCUCGCCGUUGCCGCUGCCGGGGAUCGCGUCUUCACCAAGCGCGAGCUCCGCCCCAUCCGACCGACCGCAAAGGGGUUGUCCAUUGUAAAUUUUCAAGGAGAUUCAAAUGUUCCUCUUCUGGAUGAUUGAAGGGUUACUUGAAGCUAGGGCAAUCCAAGUAAGAUAGCUUCAUCCUCAGGCAACAGGUUUAUGUUAUCUUAUCAUGGAGUCAUUUUUAAGUUUGUGCCCAACGCCUUCAUCCUUAGAAUGGCUGCCCAGAUGGCAAGCCACCGUACUUAGGCAACUGCCGCGCUAGCAGGGUGCUCCAACUUUUGAUGCUGGCGAAGCUUUUGGAAUGAUGGCUACAUAAUUUGUUAGUCUCCGUUGGAAGCUUAAUUAAACUGAGAUGUGUGGCAAAGGAUUUCAAUUUUCCUAUUUACACAAAGGAAACUUGAGGAAGGUUCAGAUUUCUCAUGCUCGGUGUUGUGCUCUCAAGGUUACAUAGACAAGAAUGCCUCCUAUUUACACAACGGCAACCCGACGAAGGAUGACGGGGCGGGUCGGGAGGCGGGGAAAGCCGUCCAUGGCGAUCCUGGUGGCGUUGCUAAUGGCGUUAGUGGCACUGCCGCUCCUCAUGGUGCCCGACACGCUCUCUAUGCCAGGCUCCAACGGCGUGGAUCGCGGCGCCGCCCUGUCGCUCCCACGCCCGUGCUUCAGCAGAUCCGUGUUUGAGUUGUGCAUACCUUUAGCCGCCUCCCCUCCAAUGUCCACGACUCUGAUAUACCGUGUUUGUUAGUCUUGACUGGUGUUUGUUCUCCGUAUUGUUGUGCAGGAGGCUGGAGAACAUCAGGGAGAAAAGGGAGUCGUGGAUGGAGGUUCUGUACUUCUGUUGUAUCAACAUCUUCUCCAUGAGUCUUUUGCCCCCACUCUGUUUUUGUUUUGGGCCGAAACGUCAUCGUCUUGAUUCUUUACGUGGUUCAUUGGCUCAGACUUGUCCUACAUGGCCGAGCGAGAUCGAGGCUAGCCGCCGGUAAUGUUCUUCUCCCGUGCAAGUUCCGCACUGCAUUGAAGCAUCCAACACAUGAUGUAGCUACGUUACAGGUGGGAUAUCAGCCAAGUAUGUUUCGAGGUGAGACAUCCAUCAAGUUUGUUUGGAGGUGAGACAUCCAGCAAGUUUGUUUGAAGCCUUUGCAGACCUUCUCACAGAUGUUUGUUCAUAUAUAAAAUUGACUAUUCCAAAUAGUACACUGAUAAUUUUGCCGAACGAAUCUUAUUUGAAGCAAAUAAGGGCCUUAGAAGAAAAUAAAAAAAAAUUGUGCAGUCCAGCUCCUGCGUGCUGGUCACCGAGCUCCACUGUGUCCAGCUCAUCCGACCAUGUGCUCCACUGCAUCUAGGUCAACCGAUCUUGUGGCAGAGCUACACUGACGCAAGAGCAAAUAGUUUUACAAUUUCUUUGUUGUUCCUUUGUACUGGAUAACUGUGCAUUUUUAGAGGUGUGAAGAUGUAAUGCAAUAACAGUAACUGGACGUAGGCACAUCCGUCUCGAUAAGCAUUAUGGGAACGGACAAAGGCAAGGCAUUCCAAUGUAAGAAAUGGAUGAAGGCAAGGUAUGUCAUUCUAAAAAAAGGCAAGGCAUACCAGGAUGCUGCAUUGCUUAA